GACGAACGCUGGCGGCGUGCCUAAUACAUGCAAGUUGAGCGAUGAAGAUUGGUGCUUGCACCAAUUUGAAGAGCAGCGAACGGGUGAGUAACGCGUGGGGAAUCUGCCUUUGAGCGGGGGACAACAUUUGGAAACGAAUGCUAAUACCGCAUAAUAACUUUAAACAUAAGUUUUAAGUUUGAAAGAUGCAAUUGCAUCACUCAAAGAUGAUCCCGCGUUGUAUUAGCUAGUUGGUGAGGUAAAGGCUCACCAAGGCGAUGAUACAUAGCCGACCUGAGAGGGUGAUCGGCCACAUUGGGACUGAGACACGGCCCAAACUCCUACGGGAGGCAGCAGUAGGGAAUCUUCGGCAAUGGACGAAAGUCUGACCGAGCAACGCCGCGUGAGUGAAGAAGGUUUUCGGAUCGUAAAACUCUGUUGGUAGAGAAGAACGUUGGUGAGAGUGGAAAGCUCAUCAAGUGACGGUAACUACCCAGAAAGGGACGGCUAACUACGUGCCAGCAGCCGCGGUAAUACGUAGGUCCCGAGCGUUGUCCGGAUUUAUUGGGCGUAAAGCGAGCGCAGGUGGUUUAUUAAGUCUGGUGUAAAAGGCAGUGGCUCAACCAUUGUAUGCAUUGGAAACUGGUAGACUUGAGUGCAGGAGAGGAGAGUGGAAUUCCAUGUGUAGCGGGUGAAAUGCGUAGAUAUAUGGAGGAACACCGGUGGCGAAAGCGGCUCUCUGGCUUGUAACUGACACUGAGGCUCGAAAGCGUGGGGGAGCAAACAGG
rnacentral:rRNA from 1 species